ACCGUACGGUGGUGGCCUACGGUGGUCGAGUGAGGAUUUUUUUCUGUCCGAAAUACACCUCUUCCGAUCAAUCCUUCUCCCAAAAUUUCGCAUGUAUGAAUAAAGGAUAUCGGAGAAACCAAAUUUUAUCAAACGGGGGGUCGUUUUAAAUGGACAAAUCGUAAUAAACAGGACGUCAAUUUACUCACUUCUUUCCACUGCUGGACGCCAUGUUGUAGUCUGGUACUGGGCAGUACCACGUUGAUUUUGUAAGGAAGACGUGUCGACACCACUUUGUCUUGCAUCCAACAUUUUCAUGCCCAAUGGAGGUAGGCCCAAGGAACAUGAAUCAGUGUCCCCGGAGACUGCUCCUCCUGCUUGUAAUAACUUUGAUCAAUGGAUGCUGCGGCCAUCAGGGUCCCAGUGAUGUCAUCAAGAAUCAAAAAUUAGGUCUGAGUGUUGGGGUGCUGUCAGGCCUCCUUGUUUUCCUGAUUGGACUCGCAAUAUUUGUCUACUGGCCGACGAGGGCAACAACCUCCCGCCAUGCACCUGUAAUCCAACAUCAGAUUUCCUUGGCAAGCACGAUGGACUAAAAAUAAAAUGUGGUGACGCAUAUAGGAGAAGGAAUGGCUAGAAGAGAUCCAUUCCUGCAGAGUUUGCUGUCACCGGCUGGUUAUACUUUAAUACAGUCGAAUCUCGUUAGUACAAACUCUUUUAAUACAAAAUUCUGGUUAUAACAAACAUAAGCCUUAGUCCCGACUGCGCAUUUAUGUGCACAAUGAAUGGGACUGAUGUCCCUCUUAAUACAAAAUUCUGAUAUAACACACAAUUUGGCUAGGUCCGAACGACUUUGUAUUCACUAGACUCGACUGUAAUUUAAUAUGACGACGUGAACAAUUGGGGUAGAUUUUGACUGGAUUGAUUGAUAAGAAUCAUCUUUAUUUAAAAAAUAAAAAUUAUCAGAUUUUCAACAGAGUGGAUGGUGCAUAAAUUAUGACUGCUUUUAUAGAAACCGGAGACUCACUGCCAGUCUGAGAUAUUGAUUGGACUGAUUGAAAUGAUUUGACCUGAUCAUGAUGGUGGGCCUCCAUGAGCUGCUUUAGAGAAUUAUGGAAUUGCUGUAGUGCUGCUGUGGCAGUGGGGUUUGGUUGGUAAUAAAAUCCCUGGUGUAUUUGUUUCCAAUUUGGCCGCCACCAAAAAAUAGUAGGACAAUAUUGGAGUUUGCCUCUUUUUGACGUCAAAUUUAAAGGGAAUAUACAACAUUUGCAAACAUUGAAAAAUAAAACUACCAAGUUUUUA